CACGAAGUUAGCCGGUGCUUAUUCUGUCGGUAACGUCAAAACUGCAAGGUAUUCGCUUACAGCCCUUCCUCCCAACUUAAAGUGCUUUACAAUCCGAAGACCUUCUUCACACACGCGGCAUGGCUGGAUCAGGCUUUCGCCCAUUGUCCAAUAUUCCCCA
rnacentral:rRNA from 1 species